GCUCAGAACGAACGCUAGCGGUGUGGAUUAGGCAUGCAAGUCGUGCGCGAAAGUCUUCGGACGAGUAAAGCGGCGAAAGGGUGAGUAACACGUAACCAACGUACCCCUCAGAUCGGAAUAACCUCUGGAAACGGUGGGUAAUGCCGAAUGGUCCUCCCUGUGGCAUCACGGGGAAGGUAAACGGCGGCUUCGGCUGCUGCUGGGGGAGCGGGUUGCGGCCUAUCAGCUUGUUGGUGGGGUAACGGCCUACCAAGGCGAUGACGGGUAGCGGGUCUGAGAGGAUGGUCCGUCACACUGGGACUGAGACACUGCCCAGACUCCUACGGGAGGCUGCAGUCGAGAAUCUUCCACAAUGGGCGCAAGCCUGAUGGAGCGACACCGCGUGCAGGAUGAAGGCCUUAGGGUUGUAAACUGCUGUCACGCUAUAGGAACCCACGGCAGUGAAUAGUUGUCGUGCUGACUAAAGCGAGAGGAAGCACCGGCUAACUCCGUGCCAGCAGCCGCGGUAAUACGGAGGGUGCAAGCGUUGUUCGGAUUCACUGGGCAUAAAGAGCAUGUAGGCGGCUCGCUCAGUCGGGUGUGAAAGCCCACGGCCCAACCGUGGAACUGCACCCGAUACUGGCGAGCUCGAGGACGGAAGGGGGUGAGUGGAACUCCAGGUGGAACGGUGAAAUGUAUAGAUAUCUGGAGGAACACCGGUGGCGAAAGCGGCUCACUGGUCCGUCUCUGACGCUGAGAUGCGAAAGCCAGGGUAGCGAACGGGAUUAGAUACCCCGGUAGUCCACGCCGUAAACGAUGUCUACUAGCCGUUGGGAAACUUGAUUUCUUANUGGCGCAGCUAACGCACUAAGUAGACCGCCUGGGGAGUACGGGCCGCAAGGUUAAAACUCAA
rnacentral:rRNA from 1 species